GCCGUAUUCGCUCAGUUGGUCAGAGCGCCGGUCUCCAAAACCGGAUGCCGCAGGUUCGAAUCCUGCAUACGGUGCCA
rnacentral:tRNA from 1 species